rnacentral:rRNA from 1 species
CUACGGGACGCAGCAGUGGGGAAUAUUGGACAAUGGGGGAAACCCUGAUCCAGCAAUGCCGCGUGUGUGAAGAAGGCCUGCGGGUUGUAAAGCACUUUCGGUUGGGAGGACUGCUUCUAGCACUAAUAUUGUUGGAAGUUGACGUUACCUUCAGAAGAAGCACCGGCUAACUCCGUGCCAGCAGCCGCGGUAAUACGGAGGGUGCAAGCGUUAAUCGGAAUUACUGGGCGUAAAGCGCGCGUAGGCGGCUAGAUCAGUCGGGUGUGAAAGCCCCGGGCGUAACCUGGGAACUGCAUCCGAUACUGUCUAGCUUGAGUACAGGAGAGGAGAGUGGAAUUCCACAUGUAGCGGUGAAAUGCGUAGAUAUGUGGAGGAACACCAAUGGCGAAGGCAGCUCUCUGGCCUGAUACUGACGCUGAGGUGCGAAAGUGUGGGGAGCAAACAGGAUUAGAUACCCGGGUAGUC